AUACGUAGGGGGCAAGCGUUGUCCGGAUUUAUUGGGCGUAAAGAGCGUGUAGGCGGCCAGGUAGGUCCGUUGUGAAAACUCGAGGCUCAACCUCGAGAUGUCGAUGGAAACCAUCUGGCUAGAGUCCGGAAGAGGAGAGUGGAAUUCCUGGUGUAGCGGUGAAAUGCGCAGAUAUCAGGAAGAACACCUAUGGCGAAGGCAGCUCUCUGGGACGGUACUGACGCUGAGACGCGAAAGCGUGGGGAGCGAACA
rnacentral:rRNA from 1 species